GGCCUCGUGGUCAAGCGGUCAAGACACCGCCCUUUCACGGCGGUAACAGGAGUUCGAUUCUCCUCGAGGUCACCA
rnacentral:tRNA from 1 species